rnacentral:lncRNA from 1 species
GGGCUGCUUCGUGAUCGUCCCGCAGCGUACGGUCUUCGCUGUCGCCUGCCCACCCUCAGAAACCGGGAGUGGACAGGAUGGGGAGCCUCACUGUAGUCUGUUCGGCCUCUCUCGCCCACACUAUAAGUAAUUUCUCAUGUUCCUUGGCGCCCUCAUAGGGGUCAGAGAACACUUCCAUUCAUUUAAGUGACUUGGUGAUCGUCAUUUAAAAAAAUUUUUUUUUCCAUCUGAGACAGUCUUGCUAUGUCUCUCCACAAGAAGGCUGGAGCCCAGCAGGCCUUGUGCAGAGACACUGCUGCUCCCGCUGGGAGUAAAGCAGACCCUGGAAAUGUAAUGGAAGCAGCCAGUCUGAAGAAGCAUGUCGCACUCUCAGGGAUUCUCACCAGAGGUGAGCCUUUCAUCACCAGCCCUCUUGAGUGCUAGUUAAUUUUGGGGGUGGGUAAAAAAAGGGGAUACUUAAAAGCCAACACUUGUCCAGCAGCAACACCACCCAUGGGGAUGGAACAAGACAGGGACAUUCCUCCUUUGUGUUUAUGUGGGCAGGAGCCCUAAAUCCAGGCUGGUCUCAGGAAAUUCUAGUUCGGAUCAUUUGGAUGCUUUCAAAUGUGGGCAACAGCAGGGGCGCAAGGCAGGUAAGAGCAGGCCAGGAUUGAGGCCAAUGUGACUGAUAUGUAUAGAUCUUAUGAAGUGCUGAAGGAGACAAAUAUCUUUUGACCCUCAUAUCAUGUAAACUAUCUGCGUAGACUAUCAACUUCUCUCAAGAUAACACAUCUGAACUUUAACCUAGUUACUGAAGGAAGAUCUUUAAGCACAAA